UGGGAAUACCUCAUGCUGUCUUCCCCAGGAGAAGGCAACUCCAACUCCUACUGGCUGUUCGUCACUCACCGAUCACGGUAUCCACUCAACUUCGAGCACGGAGCGGCGGAGAGACGGCGUAGGCCCAGCUGACGGGAUGCUGCUUGACCUGCAGAGUUCCUCCAGCAUAUGGAUUUCCAGUAUCUGCAGAAUCUCUUGGAUUUACAACACAUCCUGUGAUUAUGUAUUGCAUUGACCUGCUGCUGCCAAGUCAACAAAUUUCACCUCAUGUGCCGGUGAUAAUAAACCUGAUUCUGACUCUGACUCAGAGCUUGUGUACACAAAUUGAUUGUGUGUCUGUAAAGUGGUGCUAGACACAGAAGUUCUGUACAUAAGGUGACAGACAGGAAAUGUCAGUCGAAGUGAAAACAGAUCUCUACAAAGUGAUUGGAAUUAUUUACAAAUAUAAAAUACAAAAUAAUUGAUUGAUUAAGUAUUCACCCUCUUUAAUAUGACACACUAAAUCACCAUUGCAGCCAAUUGGAUUUUGAAGUCUUUUAAUUAGUUAAAUAAAGAUCACAGUGUGCAGUCAAGGUGUUUCAAUUGAAUGCGGUUAAAAUACACCUGCACCUGGGAAGUGCAACUGCUGGUGAGUCAGUAUCCUGGCAAAAACUACACCACAAACGUAAAAGGAUACUCCAAGCAACUCCAUGAGAAGGUUAUUGAAAAACACAAGUCAGAAGAUGGAUAAAAGAAUAUUUCCAAGUCGUUGAAUAUCCCUUGAGGCACAGUUAAGACAAUCAUCAAGAAAUGGAAAGAAUAUGGCACAGCUGUAAAUCUGCCUAGAGCAGGCCGUCCUCAAAAAUAGAGUGACUGUACAAGAUGGGGACUGGUGAGGGAGGCCACUAUAAUAACUCUGGAGGAAGUACAAGUUUCAAUAGCUGAGAGACUGCAUAAUUGAAUAAUUGUUGCCUGGGUUCUUCACCAGUCACGGCUUUAUGGGAGAAUGACAAAGAGAAAGGCACUGUUGAAAAAAACUCAAAUGAAAUCUCAGCUAGAGUUUGCCAGAAGGCAUGUGGGAUACUCUGAAGUCAGCUGGAAGAAGAUUCUAUGGUCUGAUGAAACCAAAAUUGAGCUUCUUGGCCAUCAGACUAAAAGCUACUUCUGGCGUAAGCCAAACACUGCACGUUAUGAAAAACACACCAUCUCUACCGUGAAGCAUGAUGGUGGCUGUAACAUGCUGUGGGGAUGCUUCACUGCAGCAGGCUCCGGAAGGCUUGUGAAGGUAGAGGGUAAAAUGAAUGCAGCAAAAUACAGGGAAAUCCUGGAGGAAAGCCUGAUGCAGUCUGCAAGAGAACUGUGACUUGGGAGAAGAUUUGUUUUCCAGCUAGACAGUGACACCUAGCACAAAACCAAAACUACACAGGAAUGGCUUAAAAACAACAAAGUUAAUGUCCUGGAGUGGCCAAGUCAGAGUCCAGACCUCAAUCCAAUUGAGAAUUUGUGGCUGGACUUAAAAAGAUCUGUUUAUUCAUGAUACCCAUACAAUCUGAUGGAACUUGAGCAGUUUUGUAAAGAAGUAUGGGGAAAAAUUGCAGUGUCUAGAUGUGCAAAGCUGAUAGAGACCUAUCCACACAGACUCAAGGCUGUAAUUGCUGCCAAAGGUGCAUCUACUAAAUACUGACUUGAAGGGGAUGAAUCAAUCAACUCAAUCAAUUAUUUUGUGUUUUAUAUUUGUAAUUAAUUUAGAUCACUUUGUAGAAAACUGUUUUCACUUUGACACAAAAGUCUCUUUCUGUUGAUCAGUGUCAAAAAAAGCCAAAUUAAAUCCACUGUGAUUCAACGUUGUAAAGCAAUAAAGCAUGAAAACUUCCAAGGGGGUUGAAGCAACAUACAUCAAAGUUGCUGGUGAACGCAGCAGGCCAAGCAGCAUCUAUAGGAAGAGGCGCAGUCAACGUUUCAGGCCGAGACCAGGCACUGUAUAUGUAC